rnacentral:tRNA from 1 species
GGAGGCGCGGCUUGGUGGUAGAGCAUCCGCUUGGCAUGCAGAAGGCCCCGGGUUCGAUUCCCAGCAUCUCCA